rnacentral:rRNA from 1 species
GACGAACGCUGGCGGCGUGCUUAACACAUGCAAGUCGAACGGAAAGGCCCUGCUUUUGUGGGGUGCUCGAGUGGCGAACGGGUGAGUAACACGUGAGUAACCUGCCCUUGACUUUGGGAUAACUUCAGGAAACUGGGGCUAAUACCGGAUAGGAGCUCCUGCUGCAUGGUGGGGGUUGGAAAGUUUCGGCGGUUGGGGAUGGACUCGCGGCUUAUCAGCUUGUUGGUGGGGUAGUGGCUUACCAAGGCUUUGACGGGUAGCCGGCCUGAGAGGGUGACCGGCGACAUUGGGACUGAGGUACGGCUCAGACUCCUACGGGAGGCAGCAGUGGGGAAUAUUGCAGAAUGGGCGGAAGCCUGAUGCAGCAACGCCGCGUGCGGGAUGACGGCCUUAGGGUUGUAAACCGCUUUCGCCUGUGACGAAGCGUGAGUGACGGUAAUGGGUAAAGAAGCACCGGCUAACUACGUG